rnacentral:lncRNA from 1 species
CUAUGCAUUUCACAAAAUUACUAAGCCCCUGUUUGAUGGCCUUUAAUUCAAAACUUUUUAUUUUAACAUAUUCAUUUUCAAUUACACAUUCAUACAAUAAAAUAUUCUGCACAUAAAUUCAAAACUCUUUCUUACUUUUUAACCACACAUUCUCUAAUUCAAAAUAUUGUUUUCCCAAAUAAUGGCCAUUAAACAAGGGCUAAAUAAGUCCAGAUUCUUAAAGGCCACUGACAGCCAAGUUGUGAAGCUAACAAAAACAUUAAAGCACCUUGAUUUAGACAAAUGUCUUAGAUUUUAUAUAAAGUUGACCAGCUUCAAAUGAAACUGAGACAUACUGUAACUGAAGAUAUUGUCCCUAAUUUCCGUUCAUGCAACCUUGUCAGCUUUCUAUAGCUCUCGUGCUUAGAUUUUUACCCCUGUCCAGUUAACUGAAUGGGACUGAUAUGAAUUAGGUAGAUGCCUUUUGAUAGUUAUUAUUGGCCAAAAAUAUAAUUAAUUCACUGGUAUACAGGACAGUCCAAGGUUGUAUGGAUCUUCAGAUUUUGAGAAGAUAUAGGGACUUGAGUAAGAGCUUGCAAAACAUGAUUCUGGAAAUAUUGAUUGGGCGAUUAGUAUAUACAAUGAGGAAUCUACAAUGAAAUAUGUCGCAUCACAUGGCAAUCAAGAAGCCUCUCUUCGUGAAAGGCAAAGGCAUUGGCCAUUUAAGUUCUUUAUUAUGAUAAAAUAUCUUGACUCUCAGUAAAUCCUGUGGAUCUUGAAUAAUGAUACAUCUAGAAGCACAUUUAAAUAUAAUUCCUAUUUGAAUGGAAGAAACACAAAUGCCUGAUUUUUUGUUUUUCUUUUUAACUAUCCAAAGCUACUGAAAACUGAUUAAUUUUGUAAAUUACAUCAUAAAUUUGAACACUAUAAACUCUUAGUUAUGCUUAUCAUGCUAUUGGAUUUGGUAUAAAUGUUUUUGGAUGAAACAUCAUCCAACCAGAAAUAUUAUACUGAAAUGGAUGUUAAUGGAUUGAAUUUAACUGGACUUCAUCAGGCAUGCGUUUAACAAGUCUAUGCAACCAGAUACUGAAAUGGAUGUUAAUGGAUUGAAUUUAACUGGACUACAUCAGUCAUGCGUUUAACAAGUCUAUGCAACCAGAAAUAUAAUACUGAAAUGGAUGUUAAUGGAUUGGAUUUAACUGGACUACAUCAGCCAUGCGUUAACAAGUCCAAAUUCAACAAAUGGAACUCAACUUUUUUUUUU